GGGGAAUAUUGGACAAUGGGCGCAAGCCUGAUCCAGCCAUGCCGCGUGUGUGAAGAAGGUCUUCGGAUUGUAAAGCACUUUAAGUUGGGAGGAAGUUCAGUAAGUUAAUACCUUGUUGAAUUGACGUUACCGACAGAAUAAGCACCGGCUAACUCUGUGCCAGCAGCCGCGGUAAUACAGAGGGUGCAAGCGUUAAUCGGAAUUACUGGGCGUAAAGCGCGCGUAGGUGGUUUUGUAAGUUGGAGGUGAAAUCCCCGGGCUCAACCUGGGAACUGCCUCCAAAACUGCAAAGCUAGAGUACGGUAGAGGGUGGUGGAAUUUCCUGUGUAGCGGUGAAAUGCGUAGAUAUAGGAAGGAACACCAGUGGCGAAGGCGACCACCUGGACUGAUACUGCCACUGAGGUGCGAAAGCGCGGGGAGCAAAC
rnacentral:rRNA from 1 species